AUGGGGCCUUUGCUUUUGGGAGAGGGGAAGGAGGGAGGGAGGAUGGAAGAAAGUAAAGAAAGAAAGAAGGGGAAGAAGAGGAGGGAAGGUGGGAGGGAGCAUGGGAGGAUGAAAGAAAAGAAGACAGAAUUAAAGAUGGAUGGGAGGAAAGAAGGGAGAAGGAGGGAAGAUGGAUGGAAGCUAGGAAAGAAGGAAGGAGAAGGAAGGAGGGAGGGAGGAUGGAAGGAAGUAAAGAAAGAAGGGGAAGAAGAGGGAAGGUGGGAGGGAACAAGGGAGGAUAAAAGAAAAGACAGAAUUAAAGAUGGAUGGGAGGAAAGAAGGGAGAAGGAGGGAAGAUGGAUGGAAGCUAGGAAAGAAGGAAGGAGAAGGAAGGAGGGAGGGAGGAUGGAAGGAAGAAGAGAAAGAAAGAAGGGGAAGAAGAGGAGGGAAGGUGGGAGGGAGCAUGGGAGGAUGAAAGAAGACAGAAUUAAGGAUGGAUGGGAGGAAAGAAGGGAGGAGGGAGGGAGGAUGGAAGCCAAGCUAGGAAAGAAGGAAGGAGAAGAGAAGGAAGGAGGGAAAUGACCCCAGCAGAUACCAGGAUGAUGAUGAUGGGGGGUCAUGGCUCUGCACUUUGCCGCCAUGUUUCCUGAACUUUCUUCCAUCUCCUCAGUGACCUUUACACUUCAGGGCUCUGGACCCGAGCCUUCUGGCCUCACAUAUCUCUCCCUUCCCCAUACCAGCUCUCUUCUGCUAUUUUAUCCUUUAGAGAGGACCUGCAGGUCCCCUGGGUGGUUCCUCCUGCCAUGUUUCAGUGACUCAGAUGGAGUCUUGGUUGUGCCUCGGGUCAGGAUCUCUUCUCUCAGGUGUUGCCUAAACUUUGGGUGGGGGUUUCUUCACAGGUUCCUUUCUUGGCUUUGUCAUCCCUGAAUUCCUGGGUGUGGUGGCUGAGGUUCUUGCUAGGUGGCAGCUCCUCCCCAGGGUGUCUGCUUUGGUGGGUGUCCCGAGGAAGUCGGUCUCCUCUUCUCUGCCCUUUUUAUUUUAAACUUUCAGUGUAGGACUGUUGGCCCCGUUUGCUGGUCUCUUCAGGCCAGGAACCCAAAGCCCGAGAGCCCACCUGCUUGGUCAGCUGUCCACCACUUCCGCCUCCAGUGGGCUGUGCCCGUGCAGUGUCCCACGUCUUGCCUGAGCCCUUGGGAAGCGCUGUUAGCCUCGGGUGGGCCUCUGUGCCCAGGGACGUCAGGAGGCUCUGAUCAGUCAAGCCUGGGGACGUCCUUGUGGCUCCAGGGCCCAGGAAGACAGCAGAGCUGUUAGAGGGGUGGACGCAGCCUCUUUGACAGGUCACUCAGUCGUUCUCUCAAGAAAGAGACUGCAAAGUCUU
rnacentral:lncRNA from 1 species